rnacentral:rRNA from 1 species
CCAGUCGAGCGCGAAACGUAGCAAUACGUGGAAAGCGGCGAAAGGGAGAGUAAUACAUAGGUACGUACCCUUGGACCUGGGAUAGCGGCGGGAAACUGCCGGUAAUACCAGAUAAUGUCUCCGGACCAAAGGUGUGAUUCCGUCUGAGGAGCGGCCUAUGUCCUAUUAGCUAGUUGGUAAGGUAACGGCUUACCAAGGCAAAGAUGGGUAUGGGGUGUGAGAGCAUGCCCCCACUCACUGGGACUGAGACACUGCCCAGACACCUACGGGUGGCUGCAGUCGAGAAUCUUCGGCAAUGGACGCAAGUCUGACCGAGCGACGCCGCGUGCGGGAUGAAGGCCUUCGGGUUGUAAACCGCUGUCGUAGGGGAGGAAAUGCAGGUGGGUACUCCCAUCUGCUUGACUGAUCCUAGGAGGAAGGACCGGCUAAUCUCGUGCCAGCAGCCGCGGUAAUACGAGAGGUCCAAACGUUAUUCGGAAUUACUGGGCUUACAGAGUUCGUAGGCGGCUCAGAAAGUGGGGUGUGAAAUCCCUCGGCUCAACCGAGGAACAGCGCUCCAAACUACUGAGCUAGAGGAAGAUAGAGGUGAGCGGAACUGAUGGUGGAGCGGUGAAAUGCGUUGAUAUCAUCAGGAACACCGGAGGCGAAGGCGGCUCACUGGGUCUUUACUGACGCUGAGGAACGAAAGCUAGGGGAGCAA